rnacentral:rRNA from 1 species
AAUGAACGCUGGCGGCAGGCCUAACACAUGCAAGUCGAGCGAGCGGCGGACGGGGGAGUAAUGUCUGGGAAACUGCCUGAUGGAGGGGGAUAACUACUGGAAACGGUAGCUAAUACCGCAUACCAUACGAUGUGCCCAGAUGGGAUUAGCUAGUAGGUGGGGUAACGGCUCACCUAGGCGACGAUCCCUGGCUGGUCGGAGAGGAUGACAAGCCACACUGGAACUGAGACGCGGUCCAGACUCCUACGGGAGGCAGCGGUGGGGAAUAUUGCACAAUGGGCGCAAGCCUGAUGCAGCCAUGCCGCGUGUGUGAAGCAGGCCUUCGGGUUGUAAAGCACUUUCAGCGGGGAGGCGUUACCCGCAGAAGAAGCACCGGCUAACUCCGUGCCAGCCGCCGCGGUAAUAC